rnacentral:rRNA from 1 species
GACGAACGCUGGCGGCGUGCUUAACACAUGCAAGUCGAACGGAAAGGCCCUGCUUUUGUGGGGUGCUCGAGUGGCGAACGGGUGAGUAACACGUGAGUAACCUGCCCUUGACUUUGGGAUAACUUCAGGAAACUGGGGCUAAUACCGGAUAGGAGCUCUCGCUGCAUGGUGGGGGCUGGAAAGUUUCGGCGGUUGGGGAUGGACUCGCGGCUCAUCAGCUUGUUGGUGGGGUAGUGGCUUACCAAGGCUUUGACGGGUAGCCGGCCUGAGAGGGUGACCGGCCACAUUAGGACUGGAAUACGGCCCAGACUCCUCCGGGAGGCAGCAGUGGGGAAUAUUGCACUAUGGGCGGAAGCCUGAUGCAGCAACGCCACGUGCGGGAUGACGGCCAUCGGGUUGUAAACCGCUUUCGCCUGUGACGAGGCGUGAGUGACGGUAAUGGGUGAAGAAGCACCGGCUAACUACGUG